rnacentral:rRNA from 1 species
GACAACGCUGGCGGCGUGCCUAACACAUGCAAGUCGAACGGGGUAAUUACUUCGGUGAUUACUUAGUGGCGAACGGGUGAGUAACGCGUGAGAAACCUGCCUUUCAGUGGGGGACAACAGUUGGAAACGACUGCUAAUACCGCAUAAUGUUAUUUGGGGGCAUCCUUGAAUAACCAAAGAUUUAUUGCUGAAAGAUGGUCUCGCGUCUGAUUAGCUAGUUGGUGAGGUAACGGCUCACCAAGGCGACGAUCAGUAGCCGGUCUGAGAGGAUGAACGGCCACAUUGGGACUGAGAUACGGCCCAGACUCCUACGGGAGGCAGCAGUGGGGAAUAUUGGGCAAUGGGGGAAACCCUGACCCAGCAACGCCGCGUGAAGGAAGAAGGCCUUCGGGUUGUAAACUUCUUUUACCAGGGACGAAGAACGUGACGGUACCUGGAGAAAAAGCAACGGCUAACUACGUG